GCACUGCUGAGGACUCUCACAAUAGGACGAAACGGCCGUCCAGUGC
rfam:Schistosoma mansoni strain Puerto Rico chromosome 7, complete genome